rnacentral:rRNA from 1 species
CCGCGGUAACACCGGCAGCUCUAGUGGUAGCAAUUUUAUGGGCCUAAAGCGUCCGUAGCCGGUUAAUAAGUCUCUAGGUGAAAUCCUGCAGCUUAACUGUGGGAAUUGCUGGAGAUACUAUUAGACUUGAGACCGGGAGAGGUUAGAGGUACUCCCAGGGUAGAGGUGAAAUUCUGUAAUCCUGGGAGGACCGCCUGUUGCGAAGGCGUCUAACUGGAACGGUUCUGACGGUGAGGGACGAAAGUUAGGGGCGCGAACCGGAUUAGAUACCCGGGUAGUCCUAACUGUAAACGAUGCGGACUUGGUGUUGGGUGGCUUUGAGCUGCUUCAGUGCCGAAGGGAAGCUGUUAAGUCCGCCGCCUGGGAAGUACGGUCGCAAGACUGAAACUUAAGGAAUUGGCGGGGGAGCACCACAACGCGUGGAGCCUGCCGGUUUAAUUGGAUUCAACGCCGGACAUCUCACCAGAGGCGACAGCUGUAUGAUAGCCAGGUUGAUGACUUUGCUUGACUAGCUGAGUGGAGGUGCAUGG